CCCAGUUUGCAGUAGCAUGGAAACCAGUCCCUAUAUGCAUACUGGCUGUAUUUAACUUAUUCUUGAGGGUCUCCAUAUCUAUAACUAUUUAGUAUACCCAUAGUGGUUCCAGCACCUCCUAACAGUGUGUCAUACCAUUCCCUUUUCUGCCUUUGUUUGUUGUGUUACAUAAUGUUACAACAGGAGUAGUGAUUUUUAAUGACACAUGUACAGCUUGUAAGAAGGCAGUUGUAUUAAUAAAUGUGGACGGAAUAGGUGUGUGUGUGUCGUUGUUGACUUUUGGUUCUAUGGUAGAGGAUAAAGGACAGUAAUAAGGUGUAAAAAUAUAAGGUAGUGUAUAGUUCUCAAUUGUAGUGUCGUUCAUAAUGACUAACAUUUGUCCCUUUUUCCAAUUAAUGAUACCAGUUAUAUAAUCAUUAUUAAAAGUAAUAAGGCCUGUCUGUUUACAUUGAUAUGCAACCUUAACUGUGCACAUUUCUGCGUUAUAAGAUCUAACAAUUUUCUGUGAACCUUUAAACAAACAUAAUGCAUCGGUUUCAUUAGCUGUAGACACAUUUCAUAUGGGUAACUGGUACUUAUAAGGGUUACUAUUUGUCCAAUUCAUCCAAAUGCGUUCAGUGAAUGAAUGAUUGCAUAUUGCAUGCUGAUAGAAAGGUGGUGGAGAAAGGUUCUUGAGGGGGUGUGUGUGACGAAUGCUAGAUGAGGGGCUAAGGCCUAAUUGGGCUGGGGUAUUGAAGAGUUGUUCAUCAUGUCAGAGUCUUUUUCCAGAACUUGCCAUUGACUUGUACUCAUAAUGGCAUUCAAGGAACAAUAUCAGAGGGAGUAUAACAACUCCAGAAAGCAUAGCACACAACAUAAUCUUGGUCUCAGGUACGUAUGAUCCUCUCAAUCUACGAUACGGUGUGAAAGCCAUGAUGCUUCGCUGAGGAGAAAUUCUUCUGUUUCCGAGCGAGGAGUGGUGUUGUCUUCCUUGGUUCCCCUCUUUGGACACAGCUUCACUCGGGAUGCAUGAAUCCAGAUGUUGUGGGAAUCUGUGGACAGCGGUUCUGGGUACAGCAAUCACAGUAGCAGGUGGUCCAAAAGGGUAUCCUCCUUUCUUGGUCCUGUUCAACUGACGGAUAUACACCUUGUCACCGGGCUGGUAUGAAUGAGUAGGUUCCUGUGAAGGUAAGGGAAAACUGCGAAGAAAC